GCUGCAAGUGUGUAGUACUCCAUUGGACAGUCUCUCGCUGAUUGUCUGGGCAGCAACAACGGGAGGGAAAUGGCUUCAGGAAGGUAGCUCGAUAGGAGCUGCAUGUUUUUCCUAGUAUUGGAUUUUGUAGUACUAUAUCAAAUACAGAAGCCCAAAGGUUAUUCUGUAUACUGUAUAUCAUUUGGGCGAAAUUCAAAGAGUAAAACACGUCGUUAGUCUAUGAAUGAACUUGCCAUCCAUGAGCUCGUUCUUAUGCGAGCCUCGCUAUUAAGAUGGGAGCUACCUGAUCCUUGAUGCGCUCGGUGGAUUGUUUGAUAUUGAUUGGUAGGGUUCUUGUGUUGUUUAUAUCCUGAGGGCUCUUGAUUGGUUUGGUUGUCUGUGGAGUCGAAGUUGAUUGCUCUGAAAGAAGUGAUGAUGAUAAUAGCCAAGUCGGCUAGGGUGCCCUUCCUUGCGGGCGUAUUGUAGUGGUGUUCGUCUGGUUUUUGGUUUUUGGCAAAUAAAUCAGGCAAUCUUUACCUUUUUCUUAAUGAAUUGAGUUCUAAUAAGGUAUCAACUUUUUAAAAAUUAUCACAUUGCCUGCAAAAUGUGGUGGCCUGUUCACUAACUUGUAAAAUUGUGUGUGUGAUAUGAAAAUAUACCCUCGUGGACGAAAGAAAACGGGUACCCUCAUAGUUGCAUUACUCAGCAGGAUCGUCUCGGUCAAAAUUACAGAUGUUUAAAAGUUCAUCAGGACAAGAACCUAUCCGCACAUCGUAAGUGGUUCAGUUCGUCCAUAACUAAUCGUUAAAUCACUAGCUUUAUUCUGGAUACGAUUAACAUGAGCAAUUCCAACUAAGCGUUGAUCAUGAAACAUGGAGUUUAUUUCAUGAAUAAGAAACCCAAACCGGGAACAAUCAUCAUUGCGCUCAGAAACCAUCUUCGCCGUCUCUAGACAGUCCGAUUCCAAUGUCUAUAGUGAUCUAACAAUAAUCCUACACCUUCAAAGAAUGUACAAACGUUUUACUUAACUUUUCAAACAAUUCUCUCCCCCCUCUCGCCUGAAUUCAACUGGGGUGGCUUCCUUCAUCCCAUAAUUACAUGUUAUUCUAUCUAAAAUCAUAGAUUAAUGAAAUGAGGCGAAAAGCCUCCGCUCUACAAAGAAGAAUUAUGUAGAGCAUGGCAUAAAACGGAAUAGACUUUGUGAUGCUUGAAAUGAGGCGAAAAGCCUCUCGCUGACUGUCUGGGUGGUAGCCACACAUCAGGAAGGAAAUGGCUUCAUGAAGGCAGCUCGAUAGAAGCUGCAUGUUUUUUCUAGUAUUGGAUCUUAUACUAUCAGAUUCAGAAGACCAAAGGGUAUUCUGUAUUCUACUCCCUGCGUCCGAAAAAGCUUGUCCCUCAAAUGCUAGAUACACCCAUUUGAGGGACAAACUUUUUUGGAUGGAGAGAGUAUACCAAUUGAGCGAAAUUCAAAGAGUAAAAUGCGUCGUUAGUCUAUGAACUUGCCAUUGAUGUGCUCAUUCUCAUGCGAGCCCCUUUAUUAAGAUCAGAGCUAUUUAUCCUUGAUGCUUUCGGUCGAUUGUUUGACAUUGGUUGUGAGGGUUCUCUUGUGUUGUUUAUCCUCAGGGUUCUUGAUUGGUUGUCCGAAGCGGAGUCGAAGUCGCUUACUUUGAAAGAAGUGAUUACUAUGAUACUUUAUUGGCUACCUUAUGAUGUGUAUGGAUCUUGUAGAUAGCCAUGUCGGCCAAGGUACCCUUUCUAGUAAGCGUGUUGUAAUGGUGAUUGUCUGGUUUUCACAAAUUAACCAGGCAAUGAUAUCUAUAUUUCUAUUUUUUCUGCAUGUAAAAUGUGGCGGCCUGGCCACUAGCUUGUAAGAUUGUGUGUGCAAGAUGUAAACAUACCCUCAUGGACCCAAAAAACCUGGUCUCAUGUUCAUGCGACUCACAGGGUGCUCAUUUGGCCACAACAGGACUUAUUUGACGAUGUGUGGGUAUAUAGUUGGUAGUAUCUCAUUGGUGCCGGCAUUUGUAGCAGUCUUGCCCGUCCCAGGUGAGGGUGCACACACUACAACCCACGGCGAAGCUCCAUGGGACAUGGGAGGUCUUGGGCACGCCCUCGCCACGAAUGAUGGGAGCGUGGCGGCGGGCAUGGGCAGGGCCCCUCGAGCCUGCCUGGUCUUUGCUUGAUCGAUCUUCCUCGGUUCUGCCUGGUAGGCCGGUUCUUUUGGCCGCGACGGCCACUAGCUGUACUGUGCUGCAAGUGUGUAGUACUCCAUUGGACAGUCUCUCGCUGAUUGUCUGGGCAGCAACAAUGGGAGGGAAAUGGCUUCAGGAAGGUAGCUCGAUAGGAGCUGCAUGUUUUUUCUAGUAUUGGAUUUUGUAGUACUAUAUCAGAUACAGAAGCCCAAAGGUUAUUCUGUAUACUGUAUAUCAUUUGGGCGAAAUUCAAAGAGUAAAACACGUCGUUAGUCUAUGAAUGAACUUGCCAUCCA
rnacentral:lncRNA from 1 species